rnacentral:rRNA from 1 species
CGUAACAAGGUUUCCGUAGGUGAACCUGCGGAUGGAUCAUUUCGAUGAAAUACCUUUUUUCUGAGGUGCGGCCCGCACCUGUCCAACUAAACUAGGGCUACCUUUUUUCAACACGGUUGCAUCGGUUGGGUUUUGUCGAGCGAGUUUCACGACUCGCAAGGCGGGGCUUGACAACUUAACACAAACACUUUUGAUGACUUAGGAUUUUGAAAGUUUACCUUUUAACGGCUGGUAACGCGGUCGUCUAAAAUUGUAAAAACAACUUUUGGCAACGGAUAUCUUGGUUCUCCCAUCGAUGAAGAACGCAGCGAAUUGCGAUAAGUAAUGUGAAUUGCAGAAGUGAAUCAUCGAAUCUUUGAACGCACCUUGCGCUCCCUGCAGAUCUAAUCUGGGGAGCAUGCCUGUUUGACGGCCGCGAAUUGUUUCGAACGCACGCUUUUUUCAGUAAAGGCAUGCGGAUCGGUAGUGAGGGUUUUGCCAUUAACCGUGGCUCCCUUGAAAUGCAUUAGUGCAUCCAUUUGAUAGGCAAAGACGGACGAAGGCUCGACUUUCGCUCUCUCUUCCUUGCCGGGUUUUGAUAAUAUCAGGACUUCGGAGGCGAAGAAAGGGCAAGAGCUGGACGCAACGACUUUUGCUGGUUGGAGUGCUUCUGAACGCAGCCUUGGCAUUUUUCGCAUAAGAAAUAAUUCAAAUCGGCCUCAGAUUGGUAGGACUACCCGCUGAGUUUAAGCAUAUCAAUAA